AGGUUACUGCUAUCGGUGUUCGCGUAAGCCAUGCGAGUCAUAUGUUCGUAAGAACAUGGCGUACUGCUCAGUAACACGUGGAUAACCUGCCCUUGGGUCCGGCAUAACCCCGGGAAACUGGGGAUAAUUCCGGAUAACGCACAUAUGCUGGAAUGCUUUUUGCGUAAAAUGGAUUCGUCUGCCCAAGGAUGGGUCUGCGGCCUAUCAGGUAGUAGUGGGUGUAAUGUACCUACUAGCCUACGACGGGUACGGGUUGUGAGAGCAAGAGCCCGGAGAUGGAUUCUGAGACAUGAAUCCAGGCCCUACGGGGCGCAGCAGGCGCGAAAACUUUACAAUGCGGGAAACCGUGAUAAGGGGACACCGAGUGCCAGCAUCCUAUGCUGGCUGUCCGGGUGUGUAAAAUACACCUGUUAGCAAGGGCCGGGCAAGACCGGUGCCAGCCGCCGCGGUAACACCGGCGGCCCGAGUGGUGAUCGUGAUUAUUGGGUCUAAAGGGUCCGUAGCCGGUUUGGUCAGUCCUCCGGGAAAUCUGACAGCUCAACUGUUAGGCUAUCGGAGGAUACUGCCAGACUUGGAACCGGGAGAGGUAAGAGGUACUACAGGGGUAGGAGUGAAAUCUUGUAAUCCCUGUGGGACCACCUGUGGCGAAGGCGUCUUACCAGAACGGGUUCGACGGUGAGGGACGAAAGCUGGGGGCACGAACCGGAUUAGAUACCCGGGUAGUCCCAGCCGUAAACGAUGCUCGCUAGGUGUCAGGCAUGGCGCGACCGUGUCUGGUGCCGCAGGGAAGCCGUGAAGCGAGCCACCUGGGAAGUACGGCCGCAAGGCUGAAACUUAA
rnacentral:rRNA from 1 species